rnacentral:rRNA from 1 species
UAGGGAAUCUUCGGUAAUGGACGGAAGUCUGACCGAGCAACGCCGCGUGAGUGAAGAAGGUUUUCGGAUCGUAAAGCUCUGUUGUUAGAGAAGAACGUUGGUAGGAGUGGAAAAUCUACCAAGUGACGGUAACUAACCAGAAAGGGACGGCUAACUACGUGCCAGCAGCCGCGGUAAUACGUAGGUCCCGAGCGUUGUCCGGAUUUAUUGGGCGUAAAGCGAGCGCAGGCGGUUCUUUAAGUCCGAAGUUAAAGGCAGUGGCUUAACCAUUGUACGCUUUGGAAACUGGAGGACUUGAGUGCAGAAGGGGAGAGUGGAAUUCCAUGUGUAGCGGUGAAAUGCGUAGAUAUAUGGAGGAACACCGGUGGCGAAAGCGGCUCUCUGGUCUGUAACUGACGCUGAGGCUCGAAAGCGUGGGGAGCAAACAGGAUUAGAUACCCUGGUAGUCCACGCCGUAAACGAUGAGUGCUAGGUGUUAGGCCCUUUCCGGGGCUUAGUGCCGCAGCUAACGCAUUAAGCACUCCGCCUGGGGAGUACGACCGCAAGGUUG